rnacentral:lncRNA from 1 species
GUGAGGGGUGUUAAUACCUCCCCCUUGCAUAAUCGACUUUCGAGCCUUUUCGUGGUUGCGAUGACCGUUCUUUGUAUUUUCCCUUUCCUUUGUAAUAAAUAAAAACCGAUGGAAACUAUGUAUUUUUCGUGUAGCGACAAAACACGUCAGAAAAGCCCAGAAAAAAGGAGUCAUCGUGUGCGUGAUGACCUGCAUUGCACGUGUGGUGCAACCUUUAUGUUCAUAUCGCGCAUGCGAUGCUGCGCGUGAUUAUUCCAGUGGUUGCAUGCUUUU